GCUUUGGUGGCCAAGUGGUAAGGCGUCGCACUCGGUAGGUCCCGCCUCUACAAGCAUGUCCACAGUAAAUAGUCAACUAACAAAUGAUCAGUAAUGCGAAGAUCGGGGGUUCGAUUCCCCUCCGAAGCA
rfam:Beauveria bassiana D1-5 contig00662, whole genome shotgun sequence.